GGAUAGCUACCCUUAGGACCGGGAUAACUUUGGGAAACUGAGGAUAAUACUGGAUAGGCAAUUUUUCCUGUAAUGGUUUUUUGUUUAAAUGUUUUUUCGCCUAAGGAUGGGUCUGCGGCCGAUUAGGUAGUUGGUUAGGUAACGGCUUACCAAGCCGUUGAUCGGUACGGGUUGUGAGAGCAAGAGCCCGGAGAUGGAACCUGAGACAAGGUUCCAGGCCCUACGGGGUGCAGCAGGCGCGAAACCUCCGCAAUGUGAGAAAUCGCGACGGGGGGAUCCCAAGUGCCAUUCUUAACGGGAUGGCUUUUCAUUAGUGUAAAAAGCUUUUGGAAUAAGAGCUGGGCAAGACCGGUGCCAGCCGCCGCGGUAACACCGGCAGCUCUAGUGGUAGCAAUUUUUAUUGGGCCUAAAGCGUCCGUAGCCGGUUUAAUAAGUCUCUGGUGAAAUCCUGUAGCUUAACUGUGGGAAUUGCUGGAGAUACUAUUAGACUUGAGACCGGGAGAGGUUAGAGGUACUCCCAGGGUAGAGGUGAAAUUCUGUAAUCCUGGGAGGACCGCCUGUUGCGAAGGCGUCUAACUGGAACGGUUCUGACGGUGAGGGACGAAAGUUAGGGGCGCGAACCGGAUUAGAUACCCGGGUAGUCCUAACUGUAAACGAUGCGGACUUGGUGUUGGGGUGGCUUUGAGCUGCUCCAGUGCCGAAGGGAAGCUGUUAAGUCCGCCGCCUGGGAAGUACGGUCGCAAGACUGAAACUUAA
rnacentral:rRNA from 1 species